GAUGAACGCUGGCGGCGUGCCUAAUACAUGCAAGUCGAGCGAACAGACGAGGAGCUUGCUCCUCUGACGUUAGCGGCGGACGGGUGAGUAACACGUGGAUAACCUACCUAUAAGACUGGGAUAACUUCGGGAAACCGGAGCUAAUACCGGAUAAUCUAUUGAACCGCAUGGUUCAAUAGUGAAAGACGGUUUUGCUGUCACUUAUAGAUGGAUCCGCGCCGCAUUAGCUAGUUGGUAAGGUAACGGCUUAUCAAGGCAACGAUGCGUAGCCGACCUGCGAGGGUGAUCGGCCACACUGGAACUGAGACACGGUCCAGACUCCUACGGGAGGCAGCAGUAGGGAAUCUUCCGCAAUGGGCGAAAGCCUGACGGAGCAACGCCGCGUGAGUGAUGAAGGUCUUCGGAUCGUAAAACUCUGUUAUUAGGGAAGAACAAAUGUGUAAGUAACUAUGCACGUCUUGACGGUACCUAAUCAGAAAGCCACGGCUAACUACGUG
rnacentral:rRNA from 1 species